CUGAGGCGUGACGACGAGGCACUACGGUGCUGAAGCAACAAAUGCCCUGCUUCCAGGAAAAGCCUCUAAGCAUCAGGUAACAUCAAAUCGUACCCCAAACCGACACAGGUGGUCAGGUAGAGAAUACCAAGGCGCUUGAGAGAACUCGGGUGAAGGAACUAGGCAAAAUGGUGCCGUAACUUCGGGAGAAGGCACGCUGACACGUAGGUGAAGUGAUUUACUCAUGGAGCUGAAGUCAGUCGAAGAUACCAGCUGGCUGCAACUGUUUAUUAA
rnacentral:rRNA from 1 species